CCAGUUAUCCCUGACAGCUAUCAGUUAUUUAAUAUUGUUCCACACUGUAAAAAAUGUUUGUGAAAAUAACAGUGAAAUUCUGUAAAAUUGUGACAUCUAAAUUUUGUAAAUAGAAAAACAAUGAAACAGCGUUAAAUUUACAGUAUGCUUUUGUAAAAAAUAAAAAUACAGUUGUAAAAUGUUAAACUAAAUUAAACUGUUAAUUGUACUGUAAGACUGUGUAUCAAUAACAAUGUUUAUUUGUAAAAUUUACUGAUCACUGUUAAUUGAAUAGUAAAAACAUGUAAUACUGAAAACUGCUGUAAAAAUUACAAAAUGAUACUAAACAAACAAAAAUCAGCUAUUACAGAUAAAAAAGCAAGUGUAAGCAAGUAGAACUAUCACAAAUGUUAUCCUACAUGACAUAUUUACAAGUUUUAAAUGAGGGGUUUUAAGGCAAUGUGUCUGUUUAGAAUUGUCCUUAUGGUCUAUAAGCUAUUUUAGCUUUGCUAAUUAUCAUAUUUAAUGUAGGCUUACAUAGAAAGAUAAGGGUUAUUUGUCCCCAAGGGUCCUUUAUUUUUGCGAUGUGUUUCUAUUUAAAAUGUAUGCUUUUGCGUAAAUUAACGUCUGCGUUUGAAUUUCAAACUCUGUUCUGCCUUGUCCAAUCACCAAUCUGAUUCUUGCGGGAGCAGCCAUUUUACAGAUAUUGUUUGUGAGAGCGCGCGCUCAAUCUGUCCUGCCCGCGAGAAAAAGCUGUGGAAGACGUCUUGCAGCAUUUCUAACUACCGAGGCACUGUGAACCUCUGAAACUUGAUUCUGUUGUUCAUGAUUUACAAUCUGAAGACUAUCAAGAGAUCAAAGGAAUAAAGGCCAGACACCAGAAACAAGCAGCUCAUCACAACCUUCCACAGCCUUCCAUAGUUCACCUGCAAGUUCUCAAUCGUCCUCCACCAGCAGCUCCCAAAGCCCAGAUGUAGACUGGGUGGAUACGUUUCUGAUACCAUGGGAUACAUUUUUUGGAGAGAGGAAAACUACCAAGUUCACGAAUGAGAAGAGAGAUGGUCCGAAUUGUGGCCAAUCCUGCUUUUCAUCGAAGCGUUUCCUGCUGUGUGUGGAUCGAAAUGUUGUACAUGACAACAUCCCCUCCUUUAUUUCUGCCCUGUGCAUGAUGUUUGGGAGCUAUUAUUGCUUCGACAUCCAUUACCCAUCAGAGCUGGCAUCAAUCUUGGAGUUUUUGCAGAAGUGUUUCUUCUCUAUCAACCCAGAGAAAGGCACUAAAGUGGAGAAGACAAACACAGCCCGUCUUCAUGUGAACCCAAGAGUUCUUACCUUGAUCCAGGAACUUUCAGAUCAUGAAUGGCGUGACGUCUAAAUAUGGACUGAAGUCAGUAAGAUUUGACAUACAGUGAAUGCCAGUUUCUCAGGUUUGUUUGAUCUGCCAUGCUUAAUGUAUGUGUUUAAGUUAGUACACAACUAUUAGCGUUUUUAUCUAGUGUUUUCUGAAUUAGGUAAUUCCUGAAUUGGUUGUUUGUAUGGAAUAUUUGUUUAUAAAACAACUCUUAAAUCGAUUUAAAAGAAAAGUUGGUAGCACUUUAAAAUAACUACAAACUAUGAACCAUUUAUUAAGCAUUAGCAUAUAGUGAAUUAAUUUACUGUUGAGCAUUAACUCUACUAUAAUAAACAUUAGUAGACAGUUUAUAGCUACAGCUAAAAAUGCUGUAUUCUUGACUUAAAAGCAUGUGUAUUGUGCUUAAUAAUUGUGUUUUCAUACUUGGUUAAAGAUUCUUUUUUCAUUACUAAAUUAAGUAUAGUAUUAUUUACAAACCAGUUAUUUAAGAGUAGUUGGUGGUUUUUUUAAGAUCAUUCAGAAUGCGUAAGUUAAUUAUUAAUAAACUAUUGAAAUCAACAUUUAUAUAUCUUAUUAUUCGGGCAUAUAUUAAUAGUUAAUUUGUAUGUUAAUAAAUGCUUUAUUAACUCAACUUCAUCUAGUUUUGUGACCUAAUCUAAAGUGAGGACUAUUUAUGCUUUAUAAAUCCCUUAUUAAAUUCUUAACAGGAAUUAUUUUUUUUAAUUUGAAGAAACACAAAUGAAACUCUGUCAAAUGAAAAAUUAAUCUUUGCAAUCUUAUGUAAAAUAAAAUUACUGUACAGUUUAAACAUUGCUAAAUAAUAAAAUGUUGCAUCCUAUUAUAUUGUUAAAUUAUAUUGUUGUUUAAUCCAAUUUUAUGUCAUUAUGACACUCCUGUUAUUCAGUAAUGUUUAAACUUUACAGUAGUUUAACUUUUUAGAUCAGAUUGAAAAGAUGUAUUGGUCAUUUUAUACUGAGCCUUUAUUAGUCAUUUAUAAGGGAUUUAUAAAGCAUAAAUAGUCCUCACUUUAGAUUAGGUCAUAAAACUGGAUGAAGUUGUGCUAGUAAAGCAUUUAUCAACAUACAUGGUAACCAUUUCUAUAUGCCUGAAUAAUAAGAUAUAUAAACAUUGUUUUCAAUGGUUUAUUAGUCAUUUACUAACUCACUCAAUUGUCUUAAAUAUCUCCAACUGCUCUUAAAUACAAAUGGUUCGUAAAUAAUGUGAUACUUAAUUUAGUCAUGAAAAAUCAAUUACUCACAAAUUAUGAAAGUACAACUAUUAAACACAUUAUAAAUGUGCUCAUAAGACAAGAAUACAGCAUUUGUAGCCUUGUAUAUAAACUGCUUACUAACGUCUGUUAAUGUAGAGUUAAUGCUUAACAGUUAAUGUUAAUAGCUAUUAUUGUUAAUAGCAUAUAGUGAAUAGUUAAUUCACUAUAUGCUAAUGGUUGAUAAAUGAUUCAUAGUGUGUAGGUAUUACAAAGUGUUACCGAAUAUCUUUCAUUUUAUUGCCAUUUAAAUUUUAGUUUCACUGGCAAUGUCUCCCAUGUCUUUGUCUAUAAUUUUCCUUAUUUGUUUUUUUAAAGAAGACAAUCAUUAAUCUGUCACAUGCUUUCAAAAUGGUGAAUGUAUAGUUUGUAAGGAAAGUAAGCAAUACAAAUGUGAACUGACAGACAAUGUUGACUUGUUUAUGGUUAAUAAAUACAAAUUAUAAUUUGGUUACUAAGUCUUUGAGUGCUGUUUCUGGUCUAAGCAUAUCUAGAAUUUAUAUUCCUAAGUAAUGUGUAACAUACAAGUUAUCGUAUUAAUGGUCAAGGGUAAAGCAAAUGAUUUACAGUUGCUACUGAAAUCAAACUAUGUUCAGUAUACGAAACAACAUUGGUCUUCUUAAAAUAAUUGGUUUAGGUGUAGUUGUGCCAUUUCAGAAAAGAUUUACUUGUUUACUUUUUGAUAAUUAUGAAUAAACAAUUGACUAAAGUGAUGAUUUUAUGCUGUUAAGUUGUUUAUAUUUUACAAUGUAUUUUUGUUACAUAAUUAUUGUGGCAACCACAGCUGCCAGAUUAGUUAUUCUAUAUGUUCAACAGUUUUAAAUUGUAAAGAGGUUUACAUUUUUAUUGUAAUUUUUACAAAAUUAUUCUGGCAACCACAGCUGCCAAAAUAUUUUUGUAAAAACAACAAGAUUUCUUUGUUAAAAUACUAAAAAUGUAAUUAUUUCUUACACAAACUUUCUGUAAAUUUUACAUAAUAUUAAUUUGUUUUUACAUAAUUAUUCUGUACAUAAACAGUUUUAAAUUGUAAACCGGUUUACAAUUUUAUUGUAUUUUUUACAAAAUUAUUCUGGCAACCAUAGCUGCCAAAUUUUUUUUGUAAAAACAACAAGAUUUUUUUGUUAAAAUACAAAAAAUUUUAUUAUUUCUUACAUAAAAUUUCUGUAAAUUUGACAUAUUAUUAAAUAGUUUUUUACAUAAUUAUUUUGUACAUAAACAGUUUUAAAUUGUAAACAGGUUUACAAUUUUAUUGUAUUUUUUACUAAAUUAUUCUGGCAACCACAGCUGCCAAAUUUUUUUUGUAAAAACAACAGAAUUUUUUUUACAGUGCAAGCUGUCUUUUGUCUGUUGCAAAUGAAUAAGUAAAAGUUAGCUGACCCUAUACUGUGUGAAAUAGAAAUCUGGUCCAGUAUAAAUUCAGUAAUCAGCAAUCAAAGCUGCCAGGUGGGCAUAUUUUGACUGUGAUGUGAAUAUAUUAUUAUGCAAUCAAAAAUAAAAAAAUAAAAUAAAAUAAAUGCUGGACUUCUUAUUCCUUGAUGCUUGUCAUUUUUUGGGUGCUUUAGUGUCUCUUCUUG
ensembl:lincRNA